rnacentral:miRNA from 1 species
ACCUUAGAGACCAACUAAGUUUUUCUUGGUAUAAGCUUUCGUGUGUAUCUGAAGAAGUGUGCGUGCACACGAAAGUUUGUACCAAGAACAAACUUAGUUGGUCUCUAAGGU